AGGCCCUGUGGCCCAGCAGCAGUGUGGAGGGAAGCUCCCCACCCCACCCCACCCCCCAUGCACAUUCAGACACCACACCGCCAUCCCUGAAACACACACACUGUGUACUCUGGGACAGGUUCUUCACUAGCCCAGACCAUCCAGAGGGAAGAGCCCAAGCCUCUAUUCCAGGACCCAGACCCAGUGGCAUUUCCUCAGGAAGAGCAUAUGGCCAGGGCGCUCCUGGGUCCCUGCCUAACUGGCUGAGAGUCUGAGCAGCCCUGGGUCACACCCUCUCCUCCAUCUGGACGCCUUCAUUCCUCACUGAAGGCUGACCAGUGCUUCCAAUGGUCACUGCACCUUUUUAGUUAGGCUGCAGGAGCCUGCAGAGUGGUAUGGGCCUGGCAAUCUACUGCCACCAAGUACACCACCAGAGACGCACGUGGGCACAGGCAUGUGCACAGCCCUCGGUUCAGCAGCGCUCCGCCAGCACUGACACACCCACCGUCACCUCAGACAGUGGGUCUUCAGCGGCCCGCAUCAGCACAAUCUGAAUGACGCGGCCUUCGUAGAUGUGGGCAUCGAAUGUUGACUUCCACUCGGGAUACAUGGUGGGCUUCUUCUGGACCAGAGUCUUCCCUCGCUCUGCAACGGGAAGUCAGGCUAGGACUCCUAAGUCCUUCCUUCCCUCCUUACCCCUCAUUGCCACACGGCCUACUCUAUGUCAAGUCCCGAGGCCCUGCUACGGCUCUCCAGCAUCCCACGAAGCACCCGACAGCCUCCCGUGUCUGUAGGGUACUCUGGUGGGCCCCACCUCUCGUCUUGGCUCCUGCUGUUCCCUUUCCUGUAACCCUUUGGCUCCAGCUCCAUUUCAACUCCCCUUUCUGUUUGCAUUCACCCAGUGAACACAUGUGAGAGCGGCCACAUGCCAGCCAUGGACUGGUUGGCAAGGAACAUGGCCUGGCCCUGUCUCAAGUGCCAGACAGAGACACGAACCACUGUAUUCCUCAGGUAACCACUAAGUCACAGCCGUAUGGGAUUGAGGACAAAGACCGUGGUUCUAAACCUUUCUGCCAUCAAGUGGCCUGACCCUGACAUCCAGAGACUUCCUGGAGGAAGGGGCAGCUCAGCUAGAACCUAAAAGGUGUAGGCGGCAGCCGGCAGGGAGCACAAGCACAGAAGGGCUGGCCUUCGUCCUCUGUCUGCAGGGAGCCCAGCUCAUAGGAGUUGAAGGAGAUGCGCAGGAACGGCGCCAUGGUGAAGCCUGCGGAGGAUUGUGCACAUGAAGGGGUGAAGCGAGGCAGGGGCACAGAGGCAGUGGAGACCGCUGCCGGCCCCCACUUUCCAGAGCUCACAGCACGGGAACUGCCCCACGUGGUACACCAAACGCACUAGUCUCUGGUGCCAAUGGGGAAAGCUGGGCAGCCUGACAUAAGUCUGGACUUGAGACACCGCUGGUAAAACUAAAAGAUGGAAACCAGACUUGCUGAGCGACAGCCACUGUGCUGGCUGAUCUUUUGUCUACCAGGUCAGGGUACUGUCCCCAAUCCUGAACUGGACCCUGGAGGCAUUUGAAUUGUGAUCCUGAGGCAAUCAUUUGGGGAAGUCACUCAGUGCCCCUCUCAUGGCCAGUUACUGACCGCCUAAGCAUGCCAGAGACCUAGUAUGUGCUGGGCUCCCCAUUCGAUGCCAGCAACUGCCCUCUUCUCUACUGGCUCGUGAAGCCCCUCUGGAUUCUCGGUUGCUCAUAACCACCUAUGCAGAGAAGCAUGGCGAACUGAGUCCUGUUUUAUCAGCCAAAGAACCCACUCUUUAGAUGGGCAAACUGAGACUCAGGCUGAGCCAGAUGGAAGGCUAGAGCUCUACUAACUCUGCCCUGACUUUGUUCAACACCCCCCCCCCUUCUGAACACAAGCCCCUCAGGGUCACGUCUCCUACCUAGUUAGAUUUCCUGUCCUUUCAAACUGAGAAUGGAGGCAGUGACCAAGAUCCUUUCCAGGCAGAUAAGGAGGUGUGAGAGAAACAGUGGAGGGAUAUGAAAAGGGGUGCAGUUUCACAUUUUUCUCCAAAUAU